UACGUAGGGAGCGAGCGUUGUCCGGAUUUAUUGGGCGUAAAGAGCUCGUAGGCGGUUCGGUAAGUCGGGUGUGAAAACUCUGGGCUCAACCCGGAGAGGCCACUCGAUACUGCUGUGACUUGAGUCUGGUAGGGGAGCACGGAAUUCCUGGUGUAGCGGUGAAAUGCACAGAUAUCAGGAGGAACACCGGUGGCGAAGGCGGUGCUCUGGGCCAGUACUGACGCUGAGGAGCGAAAGCGUGGGGAGCGAACAGGAUUAGAAACCCCCGUAGUCC
rnacentral:rRNA from 1 species